CCCUGCCUUUUGUACACACCGCCCGUCGCUCCUACCGAUUGAAUGUGUUGGUGAGGAGCUCGGCUUGGCAGCAGUUGGUGGUUCGCCACCGGCUAUUGCUGAGAAGUCCUCCAAACCGCCCCAGUGAG
rnacentral:rRNA from 1 species